rnacentral:rRNA from 1 species
UACACUCCUACGGGAGGCAGCAGUGGGGAAUAUUGGCCAAUGGGCGCAAGCCUGAUCCAGCCAUGCCGCGUGAGUGAUGAAGGCCCUAGGGUUAUAAAGCUCUUUCACCGGUGAAGAUAAUGACGGUAACCGGAGAAGAAGCCCCGGCUAACUUCGUGCCAGCAGCCGCGGUAAUACGAAGGGGGCUAGCGUUGUUCGGAUUUACUGGGCGUAAAGCGCACGUAGGCGGACUAUUAAGUCAGGGGUGAAAUCCCGGGGCUCAACCCCGGAACUGCCUUUGAUACUGGUAGUCUUGAGUUCGAGAGAGGUGAGUGGAAUUCCGAGUGUAGAGGUGAAAUUCGUAGAUAUUCGGAGGAACACCAGUGGCGAAGGCGGCUCACUGGCUCGAUACUGACGCUGAGGUGCGAAAGCGUGGGGAGCAAACAGGAUUAGAAACCCCAGUAGUCCCAU